GUNGGGGACCUGCGGCUGGAUCACCUCCUUUAAAGAAACGGGUCUAGACCCCACACACGCCACUCGGUAAAGAAUCGGGCCUAUAGCUCAGCUGGCUAGAGCACACGACUGAUAAUCGUGAGGUCAGUGGUUCGAGUCCACUUGGGCCCACCAAAUGGGGCUGUAGCUCAGCUGGGAGAGCAUCGGCUUUGCAAGCCGAGGGUCACCGGUUCGAUCCCGGUCAGCUCCACCAAAGGGAAGAGGCCCGCAGCGCGCGGGUCGGCGGCUUGGGUGGAGGCGGUAGCGGUGUAAAAGCCGUCAAGAAGUAGCUGUAAAGCGCAGUAAGAAGGCGUAGUAAAAAGAGUCUGUAGUAGUGAGUUUCUGAUCAGAAGCUGAGUACUACCGAUUCAGGGUAACGAAGCGGUAUUGUUCUUUGACAGUUGAGGAAGGGAAGGCCAUGUAUGUCAUCUUGCCGAUGGCAUGCCUCCAAGUGGAUGCUUGGGGAUAUAUGGUCAAGUGAAUAAGGGCAUACGGUGGAUGCCUUGGCAGAGACAGGCGAUGAAGGACGUGGAUACCUGCGAAAAGCCUCGGGGAGCUGGUAAACAAGCUUUGAUCGGAA
rnacentral:misc_RNA from 1 species